CCCAAGAUCAGGAGCUCAAAAAGGGGAAAUAGAAACCAGACAGUUACAGUAUAACCACAAAUGAAUCUAUGAGGAAACAAGAGAGAGACAUCUAAAGAAAGCAUAAAUUAUAGGGGUCGCUCAUCUCUGAGUUUGUGUUUCUAGUGAAGAUGCAGAAAUGAUGGAAGUGAGAGAACGUCAUGAAACAUAACAAAAACACAAGAGUGGCAUAAACCUACAAAAAUCAGAGAAGAGUAAGGUUCAGAGUGAAUUGAAGCCUGCCAAGAUGUUAAAGGCAAGAAAAGACUUUAAGAGCUAUAGGAGUGAGUUCCCUGGUGGUCUUAGUGGUUAGGAUUCAGCACUUUCACCACUGUGGCCCAAGAGUUCCAUCCCUGGCCUGGGAACUGAGAGUCCACAUCAAGCCAUUGCACACCAUGGCAAAAAAAAGAAGAAGAAGAAGAAAAAGGAUAAAACUCUCAGAGCAGCCCUUAAACUAAGAAAGGCGAGCCCUUGUGCUGGUGGCUCAGAGGAACAGCAACAGAAGGUAGAGAAAGCAGGUAGAAAUGGAAGCCUCAGCCCCUUUACAUUCAGGAGAAUAUUCUUCAUGGAGAAAUAAAAUCCUACCUUGUCCAAAAGGAUGAAGCUGAAAACAGGGAAGAACAUAGCAAGACACACACACACGCAGCAAUGCCGGCACACAUGCACACACACACAUGCACACACACACAUGCCAGGGCAUCUGUAAGGGACAUCUUUCAUUUUUCCGGGAUCACAGGGCUGGUAUAAUGUCCUUCCAUGUCCCCUAACCCCCUAUACCUACCACUUACCCUAAACAAACCCCUGGACACCAGAUAAGAAAGAGUGGAGCCCAACCUGGUCCCCAGCACAUGGACACAGGCAAGGUCCCCAGAGCCCCUUUUGCUCGUAGCCUCUCCUGAGCAGAGCCUCUUCCGGCCCAGUGUUGGCCCUUCCUAGUCACUCUUUGGUCACCUGUGCGAGGUCUGAACAGGCCGGUUCCUGGCCUCCUGGAGGAGCCACACUCAGCAUGGAGGGGCACAGCGGGUCUCAAGCCCAGCCGCCCAUCGGGGUGGCCAGGGAGCUUAUAGAGACCACCUAAGCUGGCCUGCCGCCCACAUGCGGAAGAGAAUUUCCAGGACCCGGUCUUUCUCUUCCCCUAUGUGGUCAGGGUUCAAAACACUGAGGAAAGCAAGGUCGAUGUUAGAAGGAGGGCAGGGGUCCCCAUCCACCACUUAUGGGACUUGGAAGGUCAUUGAGUUUCUGUGACUUUCCCAUCAUGGGGCUCAGAGCCAUGACCUCUCCUAGUUCACCGGGUCAUGGGAGGUCAGCUAGGCCAGCGUGUGUGAAAGUUCCCUGUGACUUGGAUCCUGCUGUUCCUGUCAUUAUGAUCCCUGAGUCCCAGCACCUGGAAAGACAGAUAUUCAAAGGAAGCCACCGUGAUGACAGGAGGCGAGGCUGAGCACAAGCAGCCUCACCAAAGUCCCUUUCUCUCAAUCAUACAUUUUUUUGCACAGCCAGUUGAAAUCUUAUAGGUUUGAUAAGAUAAUGUAUUUAUGGAAAAAAUAAAACCAGGAACCUUUCGAUUUCUUUCAUGGAAAAAUGUUGAACUCAUUCAAUUGUGUCGAUAGUGAACCUAGGAAAAGUUGAGAAUGUCAUCUACACCUGUCCUGCUAAGUAUAACAGACACAUACCUGAAAAUUUUAGGGUCAUCAUCAUUUUACGUUUCAGUAUGAAGACCAUUAGGUGACAGCUUCUAACAUUUCAUGUUUCUGUUCUCUUUGGACUUAGGUAAUUUUUAAUUAUUAAAAUGAAGGCAUAAGCGUUCUUAUUUUAGCAGUAGCAAAGGAUAGAAAACUCUAAUUUCAGAAUACAUGGUAUGCCCUUAUUUUCGUCUCUAAGUAACACUUUCCACUAAAAGGAACCGGGGCUCCUUGGAGAAAUUUGUUGAUUUUAGGAAUAGGGCAGGAAGGUUCACCAUAAGCCAGGAAGUAAGGAAGCACUCAGAGAAUGACAGAUAAAUGUCAGAAUGACACUGGGCUCCCGUUGGCCAAAUCUGGGACAUUCUGAGCUUCACAUUUUAAAUGAUGUUUUCCAAUUAUAAUUCAGGGAGUAAAAUGAGAGUGUGUGAGUCCAUGCUUAUGUAAGUCAGUAAUCAGGGAAAAGCUCUCCAUACAAAAGAGUGCCAGUUCACAAAUGCAGACUGAAUGAUGGGUUUAGAAAAAUGUUGACAACUCCCAGAGUAAAAACUGAUUCAAAUGAGGGUCAUCAGUGGAAGCUUAAGGAAGUGGUGAAAGUUUGAUGAGGCAGAGAUUUUUAUAUAAUCUAAGCCUGUCUCUCUACAAAGUACUUAUUUUUUUCUUCAGGCCUUUUAUUUUUUCCUCUAUGAGAUCCACAUUUUUAAAAUUGUAGUUGACUUGCCACGUUGUGCCAAUUUCUGCUGUACAGCAGUGACCCAUUCCUACACAUAGGUACAUUCUUUCUCUCAUGCUAUCUUCCAUCAUGGUCUAUCCAAGUGACUGGAUAUAGUGUCCUGUGCUGUGCAAUAGGACCUCAUUGCUUAUGCAUUCUUUUCUUUUUUUAAACUUAUCAAUUACAAAAGGGAAAAGUAGCAUCUUGCCAGUGGAAAAUCUGAAGGCCUCACUGUAACCAAAGCAUCAGAGGUAACACAGCCUUCAUUCAACCCAACAGAAAGUUCUUCAAGACACUUGCAGGCAAAGCCCCACUGAGAUCGUCAGUCCCAUGAUCCACCGCGACCUGCCCCGCCCCCACCCCGGGCCCCACUUCUCAAGUCCUCAUCACACCAGAGCCCACUUUCUCCGAGUGGACCUGAGGGUCCAGAUGCUUGUCUCCGACUUCCCACUGCUGCUGCACUUGUCACUUCAUGCCGACCUUUGGCUGGUCCUUGAAUGCACCUGUCACUUUCCCAUCUCGGGGUUGUGGCCCUUGUGGCCCCAUCACCUGCAAGUCUUCUGGAUACCUGUCUAGCCCACAGCCCCCAUCUCCUCCAAGACUAGCCCAUCCCUCAAACCUCUACAGCACACCUUGCCGUGGAAACUCCUUAGAGUGGCAAUGUCCCUGCUGCCGACCCUGGCCAUCUUGUAGUCAUCCCUGCUUUCUUUCCGAUUUAUCUGCUAACACUCUCUAACGUACCAGGUGAUUAGUUAUGUACUUUUGUGAACCGUCUCCCAUGCUAGCAUUGAAGCUAGGAGAAAUACAUCCCCAGAAUCCAGAACAUAGGGGACGCUUAAUCCACACUUGGUGGAAUGUGGAGCGAUCACAUACCUACUCUAUGUCACCAGCACUGUGCCAGGCAUAGGGCAGGAUACAAAAGAACAAAAAUGGAAGGAAACGAGACAAAAAGCCUUUGUCCUGGUCUCUAGCUCUGCAGAACCUGACAGUGUAGUUGGAGAAGUGAAGCAGACACAGAUUAGCAUCAGCACAGUGUCAGGUGCUCCGUUCACGGUCCCUUCUGCAUGGGUGAGCUGGUUACAGGAAGGGAAGGUCCCAGGGGCUGGCAUUCUUGAGGGGUGGGGGAGUGGGCUGCUUUGGGGGCGGGGCAAGGAGAGUGACACCUCCAGGGACCAGGAGAGAUGCUAAGAGGCUUCUUCCAGAGCCUGUGGGAAGGGAGGCCAGGGGAACGCUGGCCUGGGCAUGUGAGUCCUGUGGGGCUGUGAAGGAGGGCGGCCCCCAGGGGCCCUUUGCUUUCUGCCCCACUCAGCCCAGCCUGCUGCCGCCCACUUACUUUGCAUCUGCUGGGUGCGCGCUUAAGACAAGAAUAAAGCGGGUGGAGUGUUCCUGGGGGUAAACCCAGGAGAAAUGAACCAGGGAGGGGAACUCAGCUGGUACCCAAACAAGCAGGGUACCACUGCGGACCAUUCCUGGGGCGGGGGCGGGGGGGAGGUGCUGCAAGAGGCAAGGCUCUGUGGAUGCUCCCCUCCCCCCACCCCCCCCCGUUCUUCAUUUUUAGAGGCUGCUGGGUUACAGGAGCAUCACCUUCCCCCCGUAUCUCCAGCAGACCCAGAGCAGAGCCCAAGAGACAGCCGUGGUCCAGCGAGCUGCAGGGGACAGGGGACCCAGGGACAGGAGGAGGAACAGCAAGGGCCUGGAGGCUGCUGCAGUCCAUGCACUUGACAGUAAGGAAAUAUGGAUGUUGUAGAGACACAGCAUGAAUUUUCUUUUUUUUUUUUCAAAAAUAGAAGGGAGUAAGAAUUCUCUUUGCACCAUCACAGUGCCUAGCCCAAUUUAGAAUUUCUGCAAAACCCAGUCCCUGGUACUUUAUAAAGACACAGAAGAAACUGGCACAUAAGGCAGACAGAUAGGACUUGACCAUCCUCCUGGCUGCAGACUCCGUAGGUCAGUGUCAGGAUCAUCCAGCCUUAAAGAUCAUCCUCCCCCACAUUGGCUGAGUGCCGGGCGAAGACCUGAAAAGCCAGUCACAGCCCAAUUCAGUCACAAGGGAAAAUGACAUUUGUAAUUAGUAUUCCGAUUCAAUUCCAUAGUUUCCAGGUAGAAAUGUAAAGCAAAACCCACAGGAAUCCCGGCUGACAGUGCAUUUCAAGAAGAUACAAACAAGAUCAGGAGGCCCCGGGCAGCUCGAUGCCUGAAUGGCAAUGGCCUUGGUCACCGGCUUCCUUUGGGAAUCUCAGGGCAAAGGCGCGGCAAGGGUCCGCAGGAAGCUCUCAGUGUCACAGCCAGCAAACUUGGGGACAAAAGCUCUGACUUUAUGGGGACCAUGUUUGCAAUGAAGAAUCAGGGUUCUGGGGAACAGCCAACGCACAGCCCUGCCUGCUGAGUGGGAAACGCCCUUGAACUCUGGAGGUCUGUCAAAACCAUUUCCAUCAGGGACGGCCCCGCCUUCCACCUGCUGGUAACCAGAGAACACGGAGGCACUUCUUGUUCUGGUGGAUUUUUCUUGAUUCCUGGACCUGCCAGGAAUGUAACUUGGCAGGGGGUGGGGGGUGGGGGGUUAGCCAGCCAGGCCUGAGGUGUGGGAGGCUGAGGCAUUUCAGCAGCUGCUCGGGGGCGGCGGCACAUUGCAUUGUCUCGUGGCAAUUACCACGGAGUUCGGUCUUUUCCCCUCUAACCUUUAAAGGGACCCUAAUAGUCUCGUUUUGGGAAUUCGGUGAAUCAGUCAAUAACUGGGCCCAUUUACUUCAUCAGGGAGGAGGGAAGAGCCACAGUUUUUGUCUUUCUCUUCAGGGCUGCUCUGGGAACCCCUGCCUUAGUUCCUCUCUCCUGUCCUUGAAUCUCUGUGUCCAAGGGGCCCAGAAGAAAACCCUCUACCCCAGCCCCCAUGGCUCCGCGCACAAAAUGAGUUCCCCAAAGGGAACAGCCCUGAGAUGCAUGGCCAUGUGCAUCCGACACCCUCUGCACCCCUUCCUGGGCCGUGGUUCAGGGCCCCCAGAGGCUCCCUCCCUCCAGGCAGCCACCUGACACCGCAAAUUCAGGGCUGGACUGUCCCCUCCUCUGCUGGCCUCCUGGACCCUGUCAUCGCUCAUCUCAGAACCUUGCUGUCCCUUCUUCUGACCUCACGUGUAUAUAGUCAGGCGAGCAUCCUCUGCUGGUCCUCAUGGAAGCCCCGGGGUUGGUUCCAUAGGGAGAGGUGGGGAGGCCCAGAGAGGUUGCAAGGCAGUGAGGGACACAUAGCAGCCAGGUGGAAGAGCUGAGGGUCAAAGUCAGGGCUUCAGUCGCCAAUCCCAGGGCUUUUCCAUCUCACUCCGGGCUCCUCCCCGCAGCCUCCCACAGAAACAACCACUGCAUGUGAAGAAGCUGAGGCGUGGCAAAUUCAUUCCCUGCGUCCCAAAGUGGCCAGGCCCCCAGGGCACCCUUGCCUUUGCCCUUAAGCUUUGGACCCCUACACACCGAGCAGUGGCCACCUGUCCUUGGGCUGUGACCUGCGGCCUGCCAGCUGGGGGCUGAAUCCUGCCUCCUGAGUUAACCCUGAGGAGGUCCAGGGUGGCGCUGGGCCCUGACCUCAUCACGUCCACACACUAACUCACCUCAUGACAGCUCGGUGGACUCUGCUACCUUUUCUCCCCCAUUUAACCGGCUGGCAGCCUGAGGCACAGAGUCUAAGUGACUCGCCCAAGCAUACAAGCCACAGGGGCGACUGGGCCCCCAGAGUCAUGGUCUAACCACGUACUCUUGUUGCUCUGCUCUGGACGCCUCCUUCGACCCUCAAGGUCAAGGGUGAAGCUGGAUCGGGUUCAACUGAUACCCUGUUCACAAUCAGGGUCCUAAUUAGAUCAUUGAUGAUAAUGACGAUGCUGGUGAUGAUUUAAGGCAGAGGGUUUGCCUGAAAGAGGUUUGCUUGAGAGAGUCUCUGCUUGAUCCAGCCUCCAGAGCCACUGAGAAGAGCCAUGCAUCUGGAACUGGGUGGGAGGGUGGUAUAGACAAAGGCUCCACUAAGCCCUGCUGGCAGUGGGCUCUGCGGGGCGGCUGUUGCCAACACCCCUGCAUGCUGUGCGCUAGGAGGCCUCCAGCUUCAGUGAUGACACCCAGCUGAGAUGAGGGGUCCCCUGAUGCCACCUGGAUGUCCCGUAGGGGGCUCUUCAGAAAGGACCAGAAUACCACCUGCUCCAGAGUCUCAUUGGAUGCACAGCCCGACUUGAAAGGGUGUGUAUUUGUGACAGAUAUUUUCCUCCAUCACAAUUCAGACCAUUACCCCUAAAUCCCUGGGCUCCAGCAAAGGGUGGGUAGAGUCCCGUCCCAUCCCAGAGCUGGGAGGUCCCAGGACCUGAACUUGACCAGUGAUCCCUGAGAACAUGGAGGGUUUCCUGCACACACCACAUGCAGAAGAGAAGCCCCAGUAGGAAGAGCCACACCCAUCUUCUAGGACACCCUCCUGCCUUGCUCAGCAGCGACGGGGAGCCUGGGAGCAGGAGAGUGAAACCUCCAUUACUGAAAGCCCUUAGCAGCCCACGUACCUGGGAGAUGCUUCAAAGCAUCAUCUCCCUUAACCCUCACAGACAUCCUUUGCCCUCAGUGUUAUUAUUCCCAUUGUACAGACUCAGGGUAAGCAACUCAUCCAAGGUCAACCAGCUAAAAAGUUAAACCAGGGUUCAAGCCCGGGUCUUGUUGACCACAUCCCCACCACCCUGGUGGGCCUUCUCAAAUCUCUAGCCCAGAAGAUAAUUUUGCCACAUGCCUCCCCCCCUCCCCGCCCCUAUGCCAAUCACAAGGUAGAUGUUUCAUUAAAGCCAGUUGAGGGAAUGAAGGAAUGGAUAUCCUUUCUGGUUAACAUUCACUUUGCCGGAAGCCUCUCUGUAUCUGCGUGCUAGGCAGAUUCAUCCAUUCUCCAGUUCUUACUACCCCUCCCACACCCUCACUUACGCUGCACGACUGCUUUCAUGGAGGGUCCCAACCAACUUCGAUUUACGGGUUCUUUUCCACCCCCUCGUAUGUCCCUCAGUGGAAUCUUCUGGGUUAACCUGCUUUGCUCCCACUGUCCAGGGAGAUGCUGACAGGAUUGUGGUCCAGUGAACCUCCAGAUCUGCAGGUCCAGAAUAGUUCACGAAAUAAGCAACAGUGUAAGACAGUUGGAAUCAUGAUGCUACUAACACCCAGUGAGUGGGAUUCUUAACUUCAUUGCACUUGGAGUGAAGCUUGUCCAUCAUUUCAGAUCUCAGAAUGUGUCAUAAACUCAUAGUCUGAAGCCCUAGCAGACCUCCAUACCUACCUUCCGCUGUUAGGUAGGCACACCUCCUUUUUCAUUUGGGGUGAUUGAUAAAAGCUUCAGUCUUUGGUCGGCUCAAAACUUCAUAGUUUUCCACCCCAAAGUGUUCUCAAUAUCCAGUAUUUUCAAAACUGCAGAAACGUGUCCUUCCCUUUAAAGUAAAGGGAAAAAGAGUACUCUUUGUGGCGCAGCAGGUUAAGAAUCCAACAUAGUGUCUGUGAGGAUGCAGGUUCUAUCCCUGUCUUCGCCCAGUGGGUUAAGGAUCCAGUGUUGCCUAGCCUGAGAACUGCCUAGCCCAGGAACUUCCAUAUGCUGUAGGUGUGACCU
rnacentral:lncRNA from 1 species